UAGGUCUUGCAAGCUUUAUAUGCCCCAGUACAGGGGAACUCCAGGGACAAGAAGUGAGAGUGGGUGGGUAGGGGAGCAGGGCAGGAAAAGGGUAUAGGGAACUUUCGGGAUAACAUUUGAAAUGUAAAUAAAGAAAAUAUCUAAUUAAAAAAAAAGAAAGAGAGAGAGAGGUUUCAGCCUACUGUGGAUGACACUAAUCUCUAAGCUGACCUAAGCAUGAGGCUGUAAGGGAGCCACAAGCAGCAUUUCUCCAUGAUGUCUGUUUCAUGUUCUUGCUCAAGUUCCUGUGCUGGUGUCCUUUAAUCAUGGUCUGUGAACUGGGAGCAUAAAUCAAAGAAAGCCUUCCUUCUGUAACUUGCUUUUUGUCUGAAUGUUUCAUUAUAGCAACAGAAUAUGUGCGUAGAUGAAAGUACUUACUCAGCACAUACAUAAUUCUGAAAUGAACGUAUAAUCAAAAACUACCAUUCUAAACCUUGUACCAUUAUGCAUAAAACUAACAAUUACCAAAAAAUUCUAGCACAUGCUAGACAAAUUAUGAUAGGAAUCACUUGAUAUUAAAAGUAUAGUAUGAUAAUAAUGAAGGUACAUAAUUUUAAUCCUAGUUUUACUUGCCUAAAGACAGAGUAUCAUAAAUUCAAUAUUAAUGUGGGCUACAAAGAGAAUUCCAGUCC
rnacentral:lncRNA from 1 species